UACUUUCACUGCAAGCCUGGAUAGCCCUGUCUGUAAUGUGGUCUGCCUGCAGAGGUGGCUUACACAUCCGAGUACUUUCANGUAUGUAAGUAUGUAUAUGUAUAUAUGUGUGUGAGACAGAAUGAAAAUGUUUGUUUUGAAUUAUUUAAAUCUACACAAUGAUCUUAUUUGAUCAGGUUGGAGUCUGGCCUUACUCUAAUACUGAGAUGAUAAAAAACGACGCGCUAGCCAACUAGGCGGUGUGCGUGUAUGUCACCGAUUCGAAGGCUUUUUAUGGUUUAGAGAUGAUGAAUUGAUCAGAUAUACUAGUGCCGAGUGGCUCGCGGGGAUCCCGCGUCCGUUUCUCGGGCCAUGAGUAUAAAGGCGAUUCUGAUCUAA